rnacentral:other from 1 species
CGAAUCCUGAAGUGUUCGUUAUUUGAAAGUCUGUUUUGACCCAACACUUCUAUCGUAGGGAGUUUGUAUUUUAGACUGUAUGACAUGCCUUUUUUUAAAAAAGGACUUCAGAAAAUCUAAAGAGAACACCCACCUGCCGAACGCAGGUUCAAAACGAUAUUACAAAGACGGCACAUUCGGGAUUCGU